UACAGAGGGGGCAAGCGUUAUUCGGAAUUAUUGGGCGUAGAGGGCGCGUAGGCGGCCUGGCAAGUGGAAGGUGAAAUCCCCCGGCUUAACCGAGGAACUGCCUUCCAAACUGCUUGGCUUGAGUCCGGGAGAGGUGAGUGGAAUUCCCAGUGUAGCGGUGAAAUGCGUAGAUAUUGGGAGGAACACCAGUGGCGAAGGCGGCUCACUGGACCGGAACUGACGCUGAUGCGCGAAAGCGUGGGGAGCGAACAGG
rnacentral:rRNA from 1 species